CAUUUAAAGUGGUACGCGAGCUGGGUUUAGAACGUCGUGAGACAGUUCGGUCCCUAUCUGCCGUGGGCGCUGGAGAAUUGAGGGGGGCUGCUCCUAGUACGAGAGGACCGGAGUGGACGCAUCACUGGUGUUCGGGUUGUCAUGCCAAUGGCACUGCCCGGUAGCUAAAUGCGGAAGAGAUAAGUGCUGAAAGCAUCUAAGCACGAAACUUGCCCCGAGAUGAGUUCUCCCUGAGACUUUAAGUCUCCUGAAGGAACGUUGAAGACGACGACGUUGAUAGGCCGGGUGUGUAAGCGCAGCGAUGCGUUGAGCUAACCGGUACUAAUGAACCGUGAGGCUUAACCUUACAACGCCGAAG
rnacentral:rRNA from 2 species